CUUCAAUUUGCCCACAGCAGGGCUGGGAGUCACAAGAUCCUGACCUGGAGCUGAAAUGGGCACCAGGCUCUUCUUCUAUGUGGCACUUUGUCUGCUGUGGGCAGGACACAGGGAUGCCGGAAUCACCCAGAGCCCGAGAUACAAGGUCACAGAGAUAGGAAGGCAGGUGACCUUGACGUGUCACCAGACUUGGAGCCACAGCUACAUGUUCUGGUACCGACAAGACCUGGGACCAUGGGCUGAGGCUGAUCUAUUACUCAGCAGGUGCUAGUAUCACAGAUAAAGGAGAAGUCCCCGAUGGCUAUGCUGUCUUCAGAUCAAAGACAGAGGAUUUCUCCCUCACUCUGGAGUCAGCUACUCGCUCCCAGACAUCUGUGUAUUUCUGCGCCAGCAGUGAGUCCACAGUUUUGUCGGUUUGUCGGAAUAUCUCUGGGCGCAUCUCACUGAACACAUAUAUCUUCAUUCCCACCUCUCUGGACAUGCAUCUCCUUGUGUUAUUGUCUUAUGCCAACUCUAGGAGCGCCAUCCCCUAA